CUGGCCAGCUACCCUGAGGAGCAGCCCAGCCUGUCCCUUGCCACCUACUCUGAGGAGCAGCUGAGCCUAUCGCUCGCUUGUUACCCAGAGGAACCGGAGGUUUCCAGCACCAUCGAGGACACCACCCUAACCCAGCAAGGAAGCGGGCACAGCCUGUAGGAAAUGAGUGGUCACUGGCUCCGGCUCUCCCAGCGCUCUGUGUGACUGCGAGAUUGGAAGGCUUCAGCAGCAGCAGCCCGGGCAGCUUGGACAUUAAUCAAAAGCUUUGUGUCCAUGUGACUUCGACCCCUUCCCC